rnacentral:rRNA from 1 species
UACGUAGGGCGCAAGCGUUGUCCGGAAUUAUUGGGCGUAAAGAGCUCGUAGGCGGUUUGUCGCGUCUGCUGUGAAAACUCGAGGCUCAACCUCGGGCUUGCAGUGGGUACGGGCAGACUAGAGUGCGGUAGGGGUGACUGGAAUUCCUGGUGUAGCGGUGAAAUGCGCAGAUAUCAGGAGGGAACACCGGUGGCGAAGGCGGGUCUCUGGGCCGAUGACUGACGCUGGAGGAGCGAAAUGCGUGG